GCCCGUCUAGUUCAGUCGGUAGAGCGCAAGGCUCUUUACCUUGUGGUCGUGGGUUCGAGCCCCACGGUGGGCG
rfam:Gossypium hirsutum cultivar TM-1 chromosome 11, whole genome shotgun sequence